rnacentral:rRNA from 1 species
CCUACGGGGGGCAGCAGUGGGGAAUUUUGCGCAAUGGGGGCAACCCUGACGCAGCAACGCCGCGUGCGGGACGACGGCCUUCGGGUUGUAAACCGCUUUCAGCAGGGAAGAAAUUCGACGGUACCUGCAGAAGAAGCUCCGGCUAACUACGUGCCAGCAGCCGCGGUAAUACGUAGGGAGCGAGCGUUAUCCGGAUUCAUUGGGCGUAAAGAGCGCGUAGGCGGCCUCUCAAGCGGGAUCUCUAAUCCGAGGGCUCAACCCCCGGCCGGAUCCCGAACUGGGAGGCUCGAGUUCGGUAGAGGCAGGCGGAAUUCCCGGUGUAGCGGUGGAAUGCGCAGAUAUCGGGAAGAACACCGAUGGCGAAGGCAGCCUGCUGGGCCGCAACUGACGCUGAGGCGCGAAAGCUAGGGGAGCGAACAGGAUUAGAUACCCUAGUAGUC